GACGAACGCUGGCGGCGUGCCUAAUACAUGCAAGUAGAACGCUGAAGAGAGGAGCUUGCUCUUCUUGGAUGAGUUGCGAACGGGUGAGUAACGCGUAGGUAACCUGCCUGGUAGCGGGGGAUAACUAUUGGAAACGAUAGCUAAUACCGCAUAAUAGUAGAUGUUGCAUGACAUUUGCUUAAAAGGUGCAAUUGCAUCACUACCAGAUGGACCUGCGUUGUAUUAGCUAGUUGGUGAGGUAACGGCUCACCAAGGCAACGAUACAUAGCCGACCUGAGAGGGUGAUCGGCCACACUGGAACUGAGACACGGCCCAGACUCCUACGGGAGGCAGCAGUAGGGAAUCUUCGGCAAAGGACGGAAGUCUGACCGAGCAACGCCGCGUGAGUGAAGAAGGUUUUCGGAUCGUAAAGCUCUGUUGUAAGAGAAGAACGAGUGUGAGAGUGGAAAGUUCACACUGUGACGGUAUCUUACCAGAAAGGGACGGCUAACUACGU
rnacentral:rRNA from 1 species